GAUGAACGCUGGCGGCGUGCCUAACACAUGCAAGUCGAACGGAGUUAUUAUUAUGAAGUUUUCGGAUGGAUUAAUAAUAACUUAGUGGCGGACGGGUGAGUAACGCGUGGGUAACCUGCCUCAUACAGGGGGAUAACAGUUGGAAACGGCUGCUAAAACCGCAUAACAUUGCGAUGUCGCAUGACAAUGCAAUUAAAUAUUUAUAGGUAUGAGAUGGGCCCGCGUCUGAUUAGCUAGUUGGUGGGGUAAUGGCCUACCAAGGCGACGAUCAGUAGCCGGCUUGAGAGAGUGACCGUCCACAUUGGGACUGAGACACGGCCGAAACUCCUACGGGAGGCAGCAGUGGGGAAUAUUGCACAAUGGGGGAAACCCUGAUGCAGCGACGCCGCGUGAGUGAAGAAGUAUUUCGGUAUGUAAAGCUCUAUCAGCAGGGAAGAAAAUGACGGUACCUGACUAAGAAGCCCCGGCUAACUACGUGCCAGCCGCCGCCGUAA
rnacentral:rRNA from 1 species